ensembl:misc_RNA 7SK 7SK RNA
GGAGUGCUUGGAGUAAAGGUUUGCACCACCACCACCCAGCUUCCAAGGGUUGAUUCGGCUGAUCUGGUUGGCUAGGCAGGUGUUCCCUUCCUCCCUCACCAUUCCAUGUGCAUCCCUCCCAAAGCUGCUUGCUCAGUCAAAGAGGACUACCUUCCCCAAAUAGAGGAGAACCAGUCUUCGGUCAAGGGUAUACGAGUAGCUGCACUCCCCUGUUAGAACCUCCAAACAAGCUCUCAAGAAUGUGGCUUGGGUUAAAUACAACUAGAAAGUCUCAGACAAAGAGAAUUU